rnacentral:lncRNA from 1 species
GACAUACUUUUGUACAUGUCGUUAUUACUUGCCUAUUGCUAGUUUUUUUUACGUGUAUUACAUGAGGAAAUCUUGAUCGUUGAUACAUCUUAAUAUUAGAGUGUCAAAUCAGCACUGUUCGUUUUCUAUCGUUUUAUAAGUAUAUAGUAGAUGAUAGAUUUCAGACAAAAUCUGCCCUGCUGCUCAAGAAUGUAAAGCCAUGUCAUUCAACUUGUUGUCAAUUGAUCCUACUGGUAAAUACAAAUACAUGUCACUUAAAAAGAUUAUGCCAUUAUAGUUUUCUGAAACAAGAAUACGCCAUAAUAGCAUAGUGCCAGAAUUAUUUCAGUCGCUAUACAGUUUGAUGCGAUUCACAUGCAUGAUAUUUUAAUGAGUAGGCAAAUCGAAAUAUAAGGCAAGUAGAAGAAAGAGGAACCAGGAGUGGUGAUGUUGUGCUCAUCUAUACCGUCGCUUGUGAGCUAUGCAGUGGCAGCUGCCCUACAGAGAGGAAUGGUUGUGGCCCGGGAACAUGGCGCCUCAAAAGCAAUGUUAUAUGCUGUUGAGAAAGGGCGCCUCUGAUGGUCGCGCUGCGUCACCAUGUCAUCGCCAGUGCCGACAAUGGGCCAACGCCGGGAGGGAGGUGGCACACCGCCGCAGGAGAGCGGAGUAGAGCACGGGACAACGUGAGGAGGGGGGCAACUUACCAAACCUCCCGCCAUGGUCACCCUCGAUUGGAUCCACCAUCCUGCACAUGUCGUCGUUGCCGUCCUACGCCAGUGCCUUCUUCAGGCACUGCAUAGCGGCCGCUCCACCUCACCAUUGCCUUGACACGGAGCAGCCAACUAGGACGGAGCGAUAAGGUGUUGGAGCACCUCCUUGUGUCAGCUUCAGCGCUCGCUUAGCCAAGGCGGCAACUCCCGGCGACGCCGUGGGUGGUCGGCUCUGGUGGCAUGCGAUGGCGGGCGUCGGCGAUCUGGGCAGGCGAAAGGUCGAGGCGCGGGGUGGCUCGCAGCGUCGAGCAUGUGGCACACUUGAACAACGGGGACGCCGGGACUCCAGCACCUGAACGACGUGAGGCCGCGAGCUCGUGGUCGAGAGCAAUCGCAUUGGCCCAAGAUGACGGCAACGUCGACGAUGUGCAGCCGCGACCUGAGUUUAGCCUACCGCGCGGAGGUACGCCGCCUUCCUUCCUCUCCUCCGUCAUGGCCUUUGAUCGUGGUGGGGGCGACGGGAGAGAAUUUUGGAGCUUGUUGGUGGGACUACGCCGCCUUCCUUUCCUCUCCUCCGUCAUGGCCUCUGCUUGUGGUGGGUGCGACGGGAGAGAAUUUUGAAGCUUGGUGGUGGGACGAGGAGGCGGCGGUUGUGUUGUGUCGGGAUGAGGGAGAGACAAUUUAUAGAUCUACAAUAGCGAUGAAGAGGACAUGAGAUUGGACUGGAGUUUUCUAGAGAGAAGAUACGGGACGACAUGAGAUUGGACUGGAGUUUUGAGAAGUUACGUGUCCCGACCGGACCCAUCUUCCAUAGUAAAAAAACUAAAACCGGUGUAAAAAUUGUAACGUGGCAAAGGAAGGAACCAAAAUCAAAGCAGCGAUGGACAUGUACGAUCGGAACACAUGAAAGGAAACUGGCGUGACCCUUCCAUUCAACACAAAGAAAGACAUGGUAAAAAAACGUGCAACAUCUAGGUAGCUAAAAAAUAGGAACAACAAGGAAAGCUCCCGUCACACGCGUCAUUUUCUCAGGGGCGUAAAAAGAAUUCCGGAAAAACUAGAAAAAGGGAACCCUUACGGGCCUAGUAUUCUUAGUAUUAGGAAAUUUUAGUAUUUGGUGCCAAUUAAAGCUUGAACAAUUUUGGUUUUUCCCAUGACAUAUCACGAGCCGUCCUACCCGUAGCUCCUCUACAUUGAGUUCGUAGGAUCGGGCUUGCCUACUCCCUCCCCAUGCUCCCAUCCAAGCUCCCAAUUCAUUCUACAGUUGUUUUUUUCCUUUUUCCUUCCUAAUCUAAUCAUCCCUCUGAUUUUAACAGGGUGGCCCGGACCUUAUUUUGUUCCAAUCAAAUUAAGCCACGUACGCGGGAGUACGGAUGGGCGCACGCGUGGCGCUCAGGCAAGUCUCGUCUGAGUUCGUAUGCCCCUCUCUCAAGCCGGCCCUGAUGGAUAUUUAUUGCGCACCAAUACACGCCGGCGUACCAGCCGAACGAUUCAGCCGGUCAGCCCCAGCCGCACGAUGCGUGCGUCUACAUCGNNNNNNNNNNNNNNNNNNNNNNNNNNNNNNNNNNNNNNNNNNNNNNNNNNNNNNNNNNNNNNNNNNNNNNNNNNNNNNNNNNNNNNNNNNNNNNNNNNNNNNNNNNNNNNNNNNNNNNNNNNNNNNNNNNNNNNNNNNNNCUCGCUGACAAGCCAUGACUCCGCGGUUGCCCCUGCGCCGCCCGCCGCGGCACCACGCUCAUCCUCAUCGGCCGCCCGCACCGCCGCGCUCCCGUCGCCAUCGAGUGGUUGCAGCUUUUUUGCCAGGCGUUUCCAGCAUCCUUGAUGGGAAGUUCCAGCACUGCCGGUGGUGACCGCCCAACUCUGGGGAGCAGUGUCGUCGGUGCUCCGUCGGACUGGUUCCAGCAUCGAUCUCGCUCUGCCGGUCCACGGGUGUGUCAUCCCAAAAAUCAAGAGGUCGUCCCCCUCUCCUUGCAGCUCCACUGUACUGCGGUUCUAGCUUGCCGGACAACGGUUGCAACAUCCCAGCCGCAGGGGGUCGCCUUGCAGCUCCAUUGGACCGCCGUUGCAGAUCCAUUGGACUGCGGUACCAUCUCUUGUGGCAAUGGUUGCAGCUCCCCUUGCAUGGCUGCGGCACACCAUGCCGGCGGUCAUGUCGUCCCACCGUCACCGAUGCAGCAAAACUGGUCACCCGUAGUAGCAAAACAAACCACGGUUACAGCUCUCGUGCAUUACCAUUGUAUCUUUUCUAGAAUAAUGUCGUAGCUUUUUCCUUUGGUCGCGGGUCGCAGCUCGCUGUCGCGGCCCCACGCAUCACGGAUGUAGCAAUUUUGAUCACUGGUUCCAGCAAAUCUAGAUGCCCGUUCCAGCAAAAAUAACUGCCACCAUCGUUGCUCCAACCAGUUGUAGCAAAAAAGACGGCCAGUUCCAGCAUCUGGUGUGGUCGGUUGUAGCAAUAAAAGUUCUUGGUUGUAGCUCCAACCCUGACCGGCUCUAGCACCGGCGAUGAAGCUGGUAGCGUCCCCCCCAUGGCUCGGCACCAGGGUCGGUGAUGGCCGAAUCCAAUGUUGGUGGUGGCAGCAGUGUAGCGUCAACCCGUCGGCGGCCGGCCGCGAGGGGAGCUCGCAAUGGUUCGUGAGCAGCGGGGAGGAGAGAAAAGUCAUGGUUGUGGAGUCUCGGCUGAACGUAGAAGAAAGGAAAAAAAGGAAGGCCAAGAAAAAAGAUAAGAAUAGGAGAGGGGGCGGUUGUGCGAAGCCCACCACGUACACGCGUCUUGCUCGGGAGUUGUUUUCGUGGGGCCAGAGUGGCGUGCGAGCCGGCCGAACGUUCGGCCGGCGCCCCAGCCCAAAUCGUUUUCCAUAUGGGAAACGUUUAUACCCGGCGCACCGGCUGAGUCUUCCGCCGGUCGCGCACGCGGCGUGCGGUCCAUUUUUCCUUGUUGCACCAAGUCGCUUGUCCGCGCAUCCAGGCCCACAUGCAACACCCUCUUUCCCUCUUUCCUAGCCACGCAUCUACGGCCUUAUCCAUCUGCCAACCGCUCUUCUUCCUCCCCAGCUCUUUCUCUCUCCACGAGCGACCAAAGCACAUGCCAUGCCGAUGAAAGCCAACCGGCUAGACCAGAUCCCACUCGCCGNNNNNNNNNNNNNNNNNNNNNNNNNNNNNNNNNNNNNNNNNNNNNNNNNNNNNNNNNNNNNNNNNNNNNNNNNNNNNNNNNNNNNNNNNNNNNNNNNNNNNNNNNNNNNNNNNNNNNNNNNNNNNNNNNNNNNNNNNNNNNNNNNNNNNNNNNNNNNNNNNNNNNNNNNNNNNNNNNNNNNNNNNNNNNNNNNNNNNNNNNNNNNNNNNNNNNNNNNNNNNNNNNNNNNNNNNNNNNNNNNNNNNNNNNNNNNNNNNNNNNNNNNNNNNNNNNNNNNNNNNNNNNNNNNNNNNNNNNNNNNNNNNNNNNNNNNNNNNNNNNNNNNNNNNNNNNNNNNNNNNNNNNNNNNNNNNNNNNNNNNNNNNNNNNNNNNNNNNNNNNNNNNNNNNNNNNNNNNNNNNNNNNNNNNNNNNNNNNNNNNNNNNNNNNNNNNNNNNNNNNNNNNNNNNNNNNNNNNNNNNNNNNNNNNNNNNNNNNNNNNNNNNNNNNNNNNNNNNNNNNNNNNNNNNNNNNNNNNNNNNNNNNNNNNNNNNNNNNNNNNNNNNNNNNNNNNNNNNNNNNNNNNNNNNNNNNNNNNNNNNNNNNNNNNNNNNNNNNNNNNNNNNNNNNNNNNNNNNNNNNNNNNNNNNNNNNNNNNNNNNNNNNNNNNNNNNNNNNNNNNNNNNNNNNNNNNNNNNNNNNNNNNNNNNNNNNNNNNNNNNNNNNNNNNNNNNNNNNNNNNNNNNNNNNNNNNNNNNNNNNNNNNNNNNNNNNNNNNNNNNNNNNNNNNNNNNNNNNNNNNNNNNNNNNNNNNNNNNNNNNNNNNNNNNNNNNNNNNNNNNNNNNNNNNNNNNNNNNNNNNNNNNNNNNNNNNNNNNNNNNNNNNNNNNNNNNNNNNNNNNNNNNNNNNNNNNNNNNNNNNNNNNNNNNNNNNNNNNNNNNNNNNNNNNNNNNNNNNNNNNNNNNNNNNNNNNNNNNNNNNNNNNNNNNNNNNNNNNNNNNNNNNNNNNNNNNNNNNNNNNNNNNNNNNNNNNNNNNNNNNNNNNNNNNNNNNNNNNNNNNNNNNNNNNNNNNNNNNNNNNNNNNNNNNNNNNNNNNNNNNNNNNNNNNNNNNNNNNNNNNNNNNNNNNNNNNNNNNNNNNNNNNNNNNNNNNNAAUGGUUAUGACGGCGAGGCUACGACGGGUUGACGGCACGGAGCUGCACGGGAUUUUUUGCUGCAAUCGACAACGGGAAAAGCUACAACCGGUGCCACGUCUUGCUACUCCCGGCAAAACCCGACGAAGGUUGAAUCAAAUCGUGGUCGGCGCAUUGACUGUCGAAAUGAUUGGUUGUAGCGAUUCCUGUCACCGGUCGUAGCAAAAAUGAACCAUGGUUGAAGCAAAAUAUAUCUGCACGUGGAUGAUGAAGGAGAAAAGAUUGGCUGGGUGUGGCCAUGGCGACAGGGCUGCGGCGAGGGACAGCGGCGGAGCUGCAACCUGAGCUUCACCCGUCGCUGCUGAGAGCUACAACCGCAGGCGCAGCUAUUUCAUGGGUCAAGGCGGCGACGAGGACAGACGGCGAAGAUGGGGACUGGCGACGAGGACGGCCGACGAGGAUGGGGACUGGCGACGAGGACGGCCUGCGGGAGUGGGGACCGGCGACGAGGUCAGGCACCGGAGGGGAGAGGACGCGCGCGCCGAGUGGGAGAUGUGAUUUCCAGCAAGAGGAAGAAGAAGCUGGGGGGCAAACCCUUUUUUUUCACCAGAUCCAAUGGCCCACGCGGCUCAAAUCCAACGGCCCUGACGCGACCGGCCAAACGGUUGGGCCGGUGCGCCGGCGCAGAUUAGUGCCCUUUCCAUAUUUAUUUUCUUUGUGAUUUUGAGUCAGAGCAAGCAUGGCAAGUUGACAACACUACUGCACGUUUGUAGUAACUGGACGGAAAAAAAUCAUAUGGGCAUGGUGAGAUCCGCACUUCAUUCAAACUCCUUUCUUUUUCUCUUGCUAUAUCCCUGUCUUAUAUUUUCUUCUCACAUUUUAAGAUACAAAAAUAGAUGGUCUGAAUUUCGCUAAUGCGGACUGGUCGACAGAUGACAAAUCUAUUUGGGGCCUGGAUCCAGAUAUUCACUUGUUUAGUACAACGUGCAUAUGCUAUCUUUAUAAAUCUCUGAUAGUGCGUUGCGGCCGGGGAAGAGAUAAGGAGAGAAGAGAACAGCUCGACGGGAGAAGAAUAGAGAAAGGGGCAGCAAAAACAUUGGUCAUUGCUGCUGUGCUAUUGCAUACCAUGAACAAAGAAUGAAGAAAGAUGAACGAGAGAAGAUAAACAUGAAAGGGUGCUGCAGUUGUGCCGCUGCAUUCUUGGCAAGUUUUGUCAUACUCAUCAUCCAUACUUCAAGGGUAACUUUCUAUUUAGUCCAAAACUAUAGAUCACAAGAAUUUAUUUUAUUCCUGUAGCCCACGGCCGACCUUGGGUUGACCACAUUGGAUGCAUUUUGGGGGUCAAAAAGAGGAUAAGCGAUGGCACGGAUGGACCGCAGUGUUUAAAUAGAGGACAUUGACAUGUGUGGGAGAUGUCUUGAGUCAUUUAGUACUUACUAGCAAAAGGACCUGUACGUUGCAACGGGAGAAAAAAAUAACACACACUCUUAAUUUAGAAAAAAAAUGGUAUAUAAUUUGAGUAUUUGUAGUUACGGCCCAAACAAAGAUGGUCUUUGCCAACAAAACGUGAGUUCAAGAUUCCACAUGUCUUCUAUUUAAACACGGCUUGCAUGUAGAUUUAAUACGUAUGAACAAACGGGCAAAUAAAUAGGCAAGUGAUUUUCAAUUUGGUCUCCAAUCCUGAUUUUGCUAAGAUGUUUAUUUAUCCACAAUCCGGAUUAGUACCUAUAUGAAAGAAAGACGGACAAUGCACUGUUGAUUAAGAUUGCACCUUAAAUAGUAUUAUUUUUUAAAUGGUUAACAGGUAAAAUAACAUCAUAUUCAGAUUCUAUAUUUUUUCUAAUCAAAUUCCAUAUAUAAUAUGUAAAUUUGGAGUUACGGUUUAGAAGAUGAGUAUUUUAAAAAACAUUUUAUAUGUACUGCAGGUUUAAUAUAAGAAACAUUAGGGGGUUUUCUAUAAAGUAGUAUGACGGACUAAGAAUACCUAUUUCUUUUAUUGGUAGGUAUAUGUAUACAUAUAGAUUAUUGGGCUAUGAUUAUGUGAUAAUUUUUUCUCCACGUCGUAACGCACGGGCAUGUUUGCUAGUAUAAGAUUAAGUGGCUAAGGGCAACUCUAAUAGCCCGAAACGGACACAAAAUGAGUACGCUUUGUCGGGCCCGUGGGACUGGGGAUACCUAGGCCCGUCUGCAUGCGGCCCAGGGCGCGACGCUUACCCUAGGGCCCAUGACUGGCCCACCUUUGGACUUCAUGAGCAAGACCCUCACGAGGCUCUCGCUUCGCGAGGCACCCGUCAGCCCGUGUCGUCAGGGUCCUCGCGAGACCCCCUCACGAGGCGAUCUUCCAAGGCUGCCUCCUGAGGCCCCUCAUGGAGGCGGAUAGAUCAAGGGUGGCUCGGCAGGGUCACGCGGUGGGUGACGUGCGCGACGACAGGCUGUGCCCAAGGCCAUGCUAGUAGGCGCAGAUGUGGAGGCUUUCCUAUUUGAUGCUAAGGGAGCGAGGACAGCGCACCGGUCCCCGAAAAAAUCCCCAAAGAUUUCCCGUUCGGUGCAAGAGGACCGAGACAACGGGCACGCCAGGACAGAGGUCACCACUGAGCCCAUCGGGGUGCCACGACAGGAAACUUUUGCAGGCGAAGACCACAUUUAGUCAGGAUAAGCUGCAACCUUGCCCCCCUUCAAACUGGCCGUUGUGGCAACCCUUCCCGCCAUGUGUUUUUAGUGAAAGAGGACCAGAGGCAGUAUAAGAAGAGGCGAGGUGCAGCCCUAGGGAGGAGGGGAUCGUCUCGUGGCAACUUGUGCUUGAGGCUUACUCUCUCUCUCUCUCUCUCUCUCUCUCUCUCCCAAGCAAUCUAGACAAGCAGGAGUAGGGUCUUACACCGCGUGAUGGCCUGAACCUGGGUAAACUGUCCUGUCCUAUGUUCUUCUUCCCUAGCUUGAGCACGCCGGAGCAUCGCCAUGAUGUUGUGAGGCAGAGUAGGGCGGUAGGAACGCACCCCAAAGUUUGAACCUUCUUGGGUCCUCGAAGCCCCGAUUCCGACAUUUCAUGCCAGGUAGGGGUGUGCCGCCCUUUUUUCGCACCGUUACGGCUUUUGCUUCACCGUUUCGGGCCGUGCUCCUCAUGGCGCGCGAGCUGCUCUGCUAACGUCCUGCGGACACGGGCUACGACGCCUGGCUUGGCCGCAUCACCGAGCUCGUCAACGUUGCCGGAGAAGCCCCGGUGCCCUCCCACUCGCUCCGCGCUCCGCCGUCUCGCAUCGGGGAUGUGGCGCACGGUGCCCUUCCACCACCUCGCAUGCGCAGCGACCUCGGCAAACCCCGUGUGACCAGCCCCGUGGAAUGCCGCCGCCAGCCCAAGACGAAGCCAGCUGAUAGAUCGUCCAACGCGCGCCGCCUAACGCGCGCGUCCUCCUCGAGCAACAACAUUAACGCCAGUACCACAUCGUCCAAGAAGUCGUAGUGGCCAGGUGCCAGAAUCGCGCCACACUCGCGCGUGGCAUUGCUUCGAGCAGCGUGGGCUGUCGGGCCUUCAAUUGUGAGCUGCGCCGUGUGGUUUGGCCGGUCAAGUUCAAGCCGGAUCUCCUUUCGACUGAUUCAACAAAGAUUGCUUUUGCUCUUCUCGGUCCAGCUGGUGGUGUUGGGUGCUUGUCGUAGCUCUCUUCUGGUUCAUGUUCUGUUGUUUCUUGUGCCUUCUUGUGUGUAUUGGAUCCUAUUUGUUGUACCUGAUGUCUUGUAUCUUACUCUUAUAUAUAAUGAAAAUGGUUCAGGCCGGCGUAAGCCCGCCGUAGCACCGCCAAAUAAAUCCCCCCCCUCCUUUUUCUUUUGUGCAAAAAUAAAAUUUUCCAUUUUCUGUUCGCAAGUGGUCAAAUUUUGGUUACAAUUUUGAAUUCUCGUCACUCUAUAAAUGUGAUAUCACAAAAUGUUAUCAUUCUGCAUAAUGUCAUACAAAUGAGAUUUGUUUUUCCAGUUCAAUGUUUGUUAUCUUUAAUUUAUAGAAGCGGACUUUACAAAAACAGUAUGCACCGCAAGACUGAUUCGGUGAAGUAAAUACCACAAAUGGUCGUUAUACUUACAAGAUUUUGCAUAACCACGUAAACAAUCGGCACGUACUCUCGCGUGUAGGGCAUUUGGCACCUUUACGCAGCUAGUGUAUACUAGACACAGAAAACCUGAAUUCAUGAAGCGCUUUAACCUUGUGUUAAGGCUGAAACCUUUUACCGAAUAAUAAAGAUUGCGCUAGAAUCUUGAUUUACAACAAUUCCUUAUUUCACGAAAAGAAAACAAUUCCUUAUUUGUUAGGCGCCAGUUUUUAGCUGAAAUGCCAAAGAAUCAAAAGCGGAAUGCGUUUUGAUGUCGUGAUCAAAAGCAAUAUUUUUCCUUCCAUUCCAUGCUCGAUUGACAAUUAUUUUCUCAUUAUUUCCCUUCCUUGUUAUGCAUCCGAAACUGCGGCGGGUAACAAAAUAGGAAUAUGGCGCCAGAACUUUUAUCUCUUCCCGCCAGCAACCCCCGCGUACACUAUAUAUAUGCUCAUACGUCCGUGCCCAAGCAACCAUCACCGCACCCAGCCCAUACUUUCUAUAUGGCGCGAGAGCUGCCUUCUUUUGUUUCCUCUCCCGAUUUAGUCUUCCUCUCGGAUGAUGAGGGAGAAAAAGAGGUGAUCAAGAUUGAGGAUUCAGACUGCGGUGGCGACACGCAUGUCUACCUCAGCUCUGACGAGGAGGACGACGCGGUCUACGCCGAUGAUGGCUCCUCCUACGCCAACUGCAAAGCCGCAUCUGCGGCUGCCACGUCUUUGGCCACGGUGAGCUGCACCGACUAUGGCGACGACAACCCCAAUGGCGGCGACUCUAAUGGGGACGGCAACCCCAACAACAGCUACUUCGAUGACAACGACAACGACUCUGAAGAUGGCGGUGACGACGCCAGCGAUUUUUCGUCGGCCGCCACAAGUAAGUCGCCAAAAGCCCCAUACAAUUAUUGGCAUCCCACCGACCUCUGCACCCUCGUGGAAAUAGAUGGGCAGCUCCUCAAGGAUUUUGAAGGCGCGACAGUACCAUCGUCUGUGCUCUAUGAGGCGUUUAUGGAGGAUCCACGGCCGAUCCGCCGUGGCGGGCUGACCUCAAGAAAAAUCUCAUACAAAAGGUAUCAAUUGAAAAAAAAAAUUCGUGCCUUCUGCAAGUUGGAUCCGAGGCGUGCCUUCCGCACGUGUCGCACGGCUCAAGAACGCAAGUUUUACACCUGCUGCAAGGAGGCGUGGCCUCAUAUUGUAGAAGAGGGCCGUGUCUGACUUGCUAAUAAGAAGUAAACCACAGUCAUGUUCAAUCCGGUCUUUUUUUGGUUUCACCAAUAAACAAUAGUAGCUUUCUUUCCCAUUUUUUCCAUGAUCAGUAUUACUCUGGAUUUGAUCUGUUUUUCCUUUGCUUGUAUUAGUUUAUUUUUCUUUUGCUUUGUAUGAGAUUGUUCAGUACAAGAAUCAUCAGUACUUUUAUUUAGCAGUCCACAAUUUUAUUUUAUUUUAUUAUGUUUUGUUGUGGGGACAGAGGGGCCUGAUGUGUCCACCUGCUCGACAUUUCGUUGUAGAUAUAUGUGCGUACUUUUUUAAAUACCCUUUAUUAAUUGUUCUGGCCAACAGGAUGACGAUCUUCUCGCCUGAACCGGAAAACAUGCAUAUGUGCCCAUUAUAUAUUGAUUCGAUGUCCAAAUGAUUUCCCACGUAGGCAUGCAUGGGUGGGAACUUCCUGAACCGGAAAACAUGAGUAAUAGGUAGAGAAGAUAUGUUUCUUUUUUAUUUGUUAAUUAUAUCAUGACACUUGACAAUAGAGAAGUAUAUCCGGAAUAUCCUACAUGUCAUAUCAAGCAUUAAGUUCAGAUUUCACCUGUUUGCAGGCUCACGAAAGCAUCAGGUAUAGCUAAGAGAUGAACCGCGUGGUUGUUGUAUAUUUCUUAAUUACUACAAAAAUACUUGGAAAUUUGUAAAAAUCAAUACUUCAAGCGAAUAUGCAUGAACCACAUGGUUGAUGUAUAUAUCUUAGUUCAGAAAUUCUUGCAAAUUGGUAAAAUCAAUACUUCAAACAAAUUUUCUUAGUACAGAAAUUCUUGACUGAAAGACACACGAAGCAUGGAUUGCAUCUAAAGAUUAUUUUCUGUACAGGAUUCAAGAUCUAGAUCUGAAAUAUUGUAGCAUGAUAUCAGUGGUCACAACAGUAAAUUAUUCCUUCCAUUACUCUUUCAAAAGAAGCACAGAGAAUUCUACUGUUCUAUAUAAAGAUUAUUGCUAGUGUUCUCGUUUGUGAGUCCCAUGAAUCCAAGUGCCAAUCUUAGUGACCGAAAGACAUACUCCCUCCGUCUGAAAAUACUUGUCACGGAAAUUGAUAGAAAUGGAUGUAUCUAGAACUAAUAUACAUCUACAUACAUUUAAUUUUGCGACAAGUAAUUCGAUACUGACUAUAAAGCAGUUAUCUCAUUAAAAAUCAGUGUCUUCAUGCUCCUAGAAAGAGUACACAAUAAGCUAAGGGACGAAAAAUGAAUUGAAAUGUACUAUUUGCAUGUCAUGCAAACUGCAAGAUGCGGACCACUGCCCCACUGCAUGUCCGGCAUUGCUCAUCUGUUAACAGAAACAACGCCAAAGCUCAAAAAAUCUUCUAUCCAGGAAAACCGUAGGGGAAGUGUUGCUUCACAGACAACAAUAAGUAGUCAGUACAUUGUUAUUGUUUUCCCUGCUGGUGAAUCUGCACCACAUUUCUCUCAUCUUCCAUUCGACAAUCACAUGCCAACGUUUUCUGUAACACUUGAAAAGAGAAGGGAAAACACAACAGUUAUUUGUAUAGAAAAGAUGUUGGAAAAUCCUAUAAGGAUUUUUUUAAAGAAAAUGUAAGGAACUAUUGCCAUAACACGAAUACAACAUAGGGCCACUGAUUUUGAUUCGAACUAAAUAAACCAUACUAUUAAUGUUCUUUGACUGACAAAUUCUGAAGCAUUCCUUGAACAUAAAUGAAAGCUACCGAAUUACCAGGUAACCGAUACAACUAUUGGUACUUGUUUAAGCACAUGUCUCGAAAUUGAAUUUUACUUUUGUUUGUGAAACAUGAAAGGACUCAAUUAGCUAGCUGCUAUGUGAGAAGGUUUUGGAUCCCAAGCGGACCUUUUUUUCGAGGGGCACCGGAAUUUGCGGUUACCAUGGUAACCAUGAAAUAGCGGAAAAGAAUCGGACGAAAUUUAAAUUUAAAUAUUAUUUAGGUCGAUAUAGAUAGAUAUUUAACUAUAUAAUAUAACAAACUUUGCCAUGGCGUAUAGUGGCUAUUGGACCAUAGCUUUCGCUUGCUCGUACGCCGCGAGUUCGACCCUUUUUUAACUUUUGCAUCCUAUGAAAAUUAAAAAAUGCGUGAGCCCAGAUUCAAACCCGCGAUUCGCUGCUGAGGAAAGAUGCGCUUGCUACUAGGCCACUCCCAGUUAUGUCGUGAUACAAGAGAUUGUUUGUAUUUAACUCUAUAACAUGCAUUUGAAUUCAAAAUUUUCAAAUUAUCCGAGAUAUUUUUCUCGGUAUGAGUGUUUCUCGAGGGGGGAUAGUAAACGCGGUAACCGCCCGAAAUCACGAAAUUUCAUUUAGUAACCAAAUCAGUGGAUCAUACCCAUUGCAUUUUUAGCAACUCUCAUAAGCCGCUCUUACCUGUUCUCACAGCUCAUGAACAUACAAUAUAUGAUGAAACUUUGCCAGAUAACAAAGAUGCUUAACUGGCAGCAAGAUGUAUCCUAUAGUAUCAUGUUUUUAUUUCUGAGUAAUUGGUUAACCUAUGCUACCUUAGUUAAGCAUUCAAGAAAAUGAAGUUGCCUCUGUGUUUUAAGCUAAAGCUACCACAGUUCUGUGAGACUUAUCAUUCCAGAUAAUGUUCACACAACUUAAAUGAGUAACAUAAGUGCAAUUUUAAUUUUUAGUACAAAUGUACAAUGACAAGCUCAUGUACAAUUAUUUACUGAAAAAAUAAGCCAGCUCAUUUGGAAGGGAAGAAGCUAGAGAAAUGUCAGCAAUGUAACUUUACCUAGAACACAGCCACUAGUAGAAAACAGGGCUUUGGUUGAGCCCUGGGUAAGGGCAUUAAUCCCGGUUCACUCCCGAACAGGGACCAAAGGGGGCAUCAGUCCCGGUUCGUGAGGCCAGGGCGCCGGCCGGGCCUUGGGGGCCAUUGGUCCCGGUUCGUCUGACCCCUUUGGUCCCGGUUCCAGACACAUGAACCGGAACCAAUGGGCCUCGCUCCUGGCCCAACAUCUUUAGUCCCGGUCGGUGGCUGCAACCGGGACCAAAUGUUGUCCUUUAGUCUUGGUUUUAGCCACCAACCGGACUAAAGAGAUCCCUAUAUAUAGCCCUGCCCGUGAACAGAGCCAGUGCUCUAUGUUUUUGGCCGGCCGUGGGAGAGGUGUGUGUUGCUCUAGUUCACCUUCUAUGCACAUGAGGUGUUCGAUGAAAUGCCCGAGCCACACUUAAGCUUUCUCCUCUCCAAGCUCCUUCUCCAAGCUCCAUUUUCCUCAAGAUUUGUCUAGUUUUGGCGUUUCGUCCUGUCCCGUCCCCAUCCUCACCGCCGUUGAUUGCCCGCGCCGAUCUCGUCACCGGCACCACCAUGGUGAGCCUCUUGUUCUUAUCUUCUUUCUAAAAGAAAAAAAUACUACUUUUAUGAUUUAGAUUGAUACUUGUAUAAUUUUCUAUUCUUAAUUUUAUUAUUGUUUGUUAUUAUAUAGUGCGAUGGUUUUGGUAUCCUGCCCUCGUCCUGUUUAUGAUUCGGAUGUGGUAUAUAUUAUCUUUUAUAACUAUUUGUUUCAUUUAGUAUUUAUGACAAUUAUGCCGACCAACAUGACAUAUAUGUUUUUAUCUAGGAGGUAUGUGAACCGGAAAUUCCAACCGACCCUCUUGUCAAGAGGUUAAAUUUAGUUGAAAAGGAAAACAAUUACUUAAUAUUUUUUUGAAAAGAAUUGAGGAGGAGAAGAUGAAAUUGGAUUUGCAUAUUGCGGAUGUCGUCGAUGAUCACAAGAUCAAGAUGGAUGCAAUGCGCGUGAAGAUUAGAAAGAUUAGGAACUAUGCCAUUCAUACUGAGGCUUGGUAUCAUUAUGCCGUUGGAUCAAUUGUCUCCUUAGUUGCAAUUAUGAUCGCAUUUGUUGUUGCAUUGAAAUAUUUUACAUAGUUUCAAUGUAUGGUUCAAUUAGAUGCUCUAGAGAGCUAUAUGUUGUCAAUGAGAACUAUGUAUGAACUUUAUGUAUUUAUUUUUUCUGUAAUAACAUUUGAUCACUACUAUACUUUGGUUUUAAUAUGAUGGUGAACUUCUAUUAAUUUGGUCACUUCCCUAUACAUGAUGUUCUGUAAUGGUUUCUGACACACUUAAUUAUAUAUAAUGCAUGUAGAUGAACCGGCAAUGGAUGUAUGGUGAAAGACGCACCUCCGAGUACAUUAAGGGCAUGUAUAAUUUUCUCGAAGUGGUUGAGGCAAACAAGAAGAAUGGUUUUAUGUUUUCUCCAUGCCCUAUCUGUGGGAAUACAAAGUCUUACUCUGACUCGAAAACCCUUCACAUCCACCUUCUUGACAAGGAUUUCAUGCCACACUAUAAUGUUUGGACCAAGCACGGAGAAAGAGGGGUUAUGAUGGAAGACAACAAAGAAGAAGAGGAUGAUGACAACUAUCAUCCCCCUGAAUACGGUGAUGCUGCAACGGAGGAAGAUGAAGAUCAAGAGGAACCAGAAGAUGUGCUCGAUGAUGAUCUUCAUGGGGUCUUUGUUGAUGCAAAGAGACAAUUCCAAACUGAAAGGGAGAAGUUGAAGUUCGAUCGCAUGUUAGAGGAUCACAAAAAAGGGUUGUACCCAAAUUGCGAAAAUGGCAAAACAAAGCUCGGUAUCACACUGGAAUUGCUGCAAUGGAAGGCAGGCAAUGGUGUAUCUGACAACGGGUUUGAGAAGCUACUAAAAAUAUUGAAGAAUAAGCUUCCAAAGGAUAAUGAAUUGCCCGACAGUACGUACAGAGCAAAGAAGGUUCUAUGCCCUCUAGCAUUGGAGAUGCAGAAGAUACAUGCAUGCCCUAAUGACUGCAUCCUCUACCGCAAUGUGUACAAGGAUUUGAACACAUGCCCGGUAGGCGAUGCAUUGCGGUAUAAGAUCAGACGAGAUGACCCUGGUGAUGUUGAGGGCGAGCGCCCCAGGAAGAGGAUUCCUGCCACGGUGGUAUGCUCCUAUAAUACCAUGGUUGAAACGUAUGCUUAGAAACAAAUAGCAUGCCAAGUUGAUGCGAUGACACAAACAGGACGGUAAGAAACACGGGAAGUUUAGAGCACCCGCUGACGGGUCGCAGUGGAGAGAAAUCGAGAGAACGUGGGGGGGGGGGGACUUUGGAGGUGACACAAGGAACGUAUGGUUUGGUUUAAGCGCGGAUGUCAUUAAUCCUUUUGGAGAGCAGAGCAGCAAUCAUAACACCUGGCCCAUGACUCUAUGUAUUUAUAACCUUCCUCCUUGGUUGUGCAUGGAGCGGAAGUUCAUUAUGAUGCCGUGCUCAUCCAAGGCCCUAAGCAACCCAGCAACAACAUUGAUGUGUACCUAAGGCCAUUAGUUGAAGUACUUUUACAGCUGUGGAAUGGAAAAGGUGUAUGUGUGUUGGAUGAGCACGACCAGGAGGAUUUUGACCUACAUGCAUUGCUGUUUGUAACCAUCAAUGAUUUGCCUGCUCUGAGUAACCUUUUAGGACAAACAAACAAGGGAUUCCACGCAUGCACGCACUGUUUAGAUGACACCGAAAGUAUAUAUUUGGACAAAUGCAUGAAGAAUGUCUACAUGGGACAUCAUUGAUUUCUUCUGACCAACCAUCAAUGUAGAAAGAAAGGCAAGCAUUUCAAAGGUGAGGCAGAUCACCGGAAGAAGCCCGCCAUUCGUACUGGUGAUCACAUACUUGAUAUGGUCAUUGAUUUACACGUAAUCUUUGGAAAGGGUCCCAGCGGACUAUAUGUUCCAAAUGAAGCUGAGGGACGUGCACCCAUGUGGAAGAAGAAACCUAUAUUUUCGGACCUACCCUAUUGGAAAGACCUAGAGAUCCGCUAUGCAAUCGACGUGAUGCAUGUGAUGAAGAAUCUUUGCAUGAACCUGCUAGGCUUCUUGGGCGUGUAUGGGAAGACAAAAGAUACACCAGAGGCACGGGAGGACCAGCAAUGUGUGCAUGAAAAAGACGGCAUACAUCCAAAGAAGUAUAAAGGGCCUGCCAGGUAUGCUCUUACCAAAGAUGAGAAGAAAAUCUUUUUUGAAUGCAUGCUCAGUAUGAAGGUCCCGUCUAGCUUCCCGGCAAAUAUAAAGGGAAUAAUAAAUAUGGCAAAAAGUUCCAAAACCUAAAGUCUCAUGACUGCCAUGUGAUUAUGACGCAACUACUUCCGGUUGCAUUGACGUGGCUUCUACCGAAAAACGUUUGAUUAGCCAUUGUGAAGCUAUGUGCAUUCCUCAAUGCAAUCUCUCAGAAGGUAAUCGAUCCAAAAAUCCUACCAAGGUUAAGGAGUGAUUUGGUGCAAUGUCUUGUCAGUUUCAAGCUGGUGUUCCCACCAUCCUUAUUCAAUAUCAUGACACACGUCCUAGUUCAUCUAGUCGACGAAAUUGGCAUUCUGGGCCCUAUAUUUCUACACAAUAUGUUCCCCUUUGAGAGGUUUAUGGGAGUCUUAAAGAAAUAUGUUUGUAACCGUGCUAGGCCAGAAGCAAGCAUCUCCACGGGUCAUAAAAUAGUGGAGGUCAUUAGGUUUUGUGUUGACUUCAUUCCCGACCUUAAGAAGAUUGGUCUUCCUCAACCGCGGUAUGAGGGGAGAUUGACUGGAAAAGGCACGCUAGGAGUAGACUCGAUAAUAUGUAGGGACGGGCAUUUUUGGUCUCAAGCACACUACACAACUCUACAGGAUUCUACCUUGGUGACCCCAUAUGUCAAUGAACACAAGAAUAUUCUGCGCUCCAAACACCCGGAGCAGUGUGACGACCGGAUUACAUGUGAACACAUCAGGACUUUCGGUAGUUGGUAGCAAACACAUCUCAUGGGUGACAACACUGUUGUAGAUGAGUUGUACUCGUUGGCCAGAGGACCAUCUUCGACUGUAUUAACUUACAAAGGGUACGAGAUAAAUGGGAAUACGUUUUACACGAUCGCCCAAGAUCAAAAGAGCACCAACAAAAACAGUGGUGUCCGCUUUGAUGCAGCAACCAAUAGGGGAAAGGACACAUAUUAUGGUUACAUAGUAGACAUAUGGGAAUUUAACUAUGGACAUGAUUUUAAGGUCCCUUUUUUCGGUGCAAAUGGGUUAAUCUGUCAGGGGACGGGGUACAGGUAGACCAAUAGUACGGAAUCACAACAGUGGAUCUCAACAAUCUUGGGUACACAGACGAACCAUCCGUCCUAGCCAAUGAUGUGGCGCGGGUUUUCUAUGUGAAGGACAUGUCUACCGAACCGAGAAAAAGAAAAGAUAAGGAAGCGAAUACAUCAUACGAUGAGCCAAAGUGCCACAUAGAUCUUUCAGGGAAAAGAGACAUCGUGGGAGUGGAGGGCAAGACAUGCAUGUCUAAAGAUUACAAAAAGUUUCAUGAAAUUCCUCCCUUCAAAGUCAAGGCUGACCCAAACACCCUGUUAAACGAUGAAGAUUAUCCAUGGUUACGGCGCAAUAAGCAAGGGACACACACAAAGAAAAAGUGAAGACUUUCUCUCCACAACUAUUCUGAUGAUUCCUUUGAUCUAGAAUAUCACUCUAGUUACAUGUUAAGAAAUGAAAUGCCUUUUGGAACAUAUGAGUUUUCAUCCGAAACCCUGAUACUUUGAAAGAGAUUGCCAUUUUGUACAUGAAGUGCAUCCAGUUUUUUCCGCAACCCUCUCAAUUUUGUAGCACAUGCUAUAUGGCUGAAAUGAUGAUAUCAUGCUAACUUUCAACCUUUUCAGAGUUCAUUUGUAGUGCUUUCCAAUUUCAGGGUCAUUUAGCUAAAAAAAUCAGUAAAUGCAUGAAAAAUACAAAAUGAAGUCAGAAAUGGUUGAAAAUUGAUGAUGCGCCUUUUAAUGAUGCAUUUUGAACACACAAAAAGUCUGGAGUUAAAAUAAGUUCCAAAAAAUAAAAUUAAUUUGUAAGAGAGGAGUUUUCGUCCGAAAGCCUGAUACUUCGAAAGAGAUUGUCCAUUUUGUACACGAAUUGCAUCCAAUUUUUUUCGUAACCGUCUCAACUUUCUAGCACAUGUUAUGUGGGUGAAAUGAUGAUAUCAUGCCUACUUUCAACCUUUCCAGAGUUUAUUUAUAGUGCUUUUCAAUUUCAGGGUAAUUUAGCUCAAAAAAUCAGUAAAUGCAUGAAAAAUACCAAAUAAAGGUAUAAACGGUUGAAAAUUGUUGAUGUGCCUUUGAACGGUGCAUUUUGGACACAUAAAAUGUAUGGGGUUAAAAUAAGUUCGAAAUCCCCCUCCUCACGCCUCGAGUCACCUCGCCACCCCAUCACCCAUCUUGUGCCCGCAUCCGCAGAAUUCAGAUGCAUAUUUUCUGGUGCAACAGCAAGCGUUGGAGGAUUUAAGCGCCAAACAAGAGAAAGUUAAUAAGCUUGCUAAGCAUCUUGCCAGCAUUAUGGGUACCCAGGAUAUUUUUCCUUGAGAUCUUCUGAAGUGGGUUUAGUCCUGGAUUUGUUUUGCUACGACAUUUAUUUGCGCUGGUCCCCAACUUUGACAACCAGUGUAUAUGAUAUGCUGCUUUGUUUCCUAUAUUUGCUCUGGUGGCGAACUUUGAUGUCUAGUGGAUGUAAUAUGUGUAAUAGCCGUGAUAGCCUAACAUUAGUUGCUUGCUUAUUUAUUUCCUUGUUGUCUUGUUUAUUUUUUUGCUUGUACUCAUUGGAGUUCUUUUUCCGCGGUUUGCUAGUGGCUGCAAUAACCUAUUUUUUUAAAACUAGGCCACAAUAACCAUGGGCUAAUAUUUACUGAAGUGACAUUGGGCCUCCUACUGGCCGUAGAAACAGUGGGCCUUCUACGGGCCGUAGAAAUAAUGGGCCUUCUACGGGCCGUAGAAACAAUGGGCCUUCUGCGGGCCAUAUCAUCAAUGGGCCUUAUACGGGUCGUAUGAUCGAUUGGCCAAACAUGGGCCAAACAGACCGCAUUAUGGCCGUAAACGGGCUAGAGUUGGAAUCGUCCGUUCAUGGGCCAACCAUAACAGGCCAUCGUUAAUAGGCCGUAUUUGAUGAUGCUAUGAGAACGGUCCAACGUAUUAAUGGACCACAAACGGGCCGACUGUAACCACGGGCUGAAUUUGGCCCACAAGCAAAAAAUGACAGUAACGGGCCGUAAGUAAACGAACGAUGGAAAUGAGCCCAAGAAUAAAUGGGCUCUGAGAAGGCCGAAAGAUAACAUGGGUUGGAAACAGCCCAACGGAAUAACGAGCAGUUAAUUGGUAUAAAGUGAUACACUGUUCAUUACGGGCCAGUUUCACCACGGGCCGUUAAUGGGUGUAAAGUGAUACACUGUUCAUUACGGGCCAGUUUCACCAUGUGCCGUUAAUAGGCCAAGAGUUACAUAGGGCCUCAUAUGGGCCGAAAGACAUCAUGGGCCAUACAUGCGCGAGAAGUGAAAACAGCCUGGAAUCAUAUUGGAUGGCCCAGAUGACGCUACUAGGCCUAAUUCGGAUAGGGCGUAACGGGCCUUGGGUUAGCGGGCUGUAAAUGGGCUAUAUGCGAAUAGGCCUUUAAUAGGCUUUCCAUGGACCGGCCCGCCACCUUUUGACCAAGUCAAACGCGUCAGCCUUUUCACAGGAAUGGGCCUCUGUUGAGCCGUGCCACAUGUCUACGUACCAUAGGCGCCUUCCAUCCAAUGAGUGGAUGACAUCUGUCCCAACAAUCAGCCGACACGUGUUUCCUCCAGCCAAUGAUGAUUUUACACGUGGAAAAUCCUCAUUGGUCGGGGCUGUUAACGGGUUAUCAGGUCCAAAACCCGACCCGAUAGCUUAACGGUGUUCCAAUACGGUGGAUUCCACGUGUCGGUCACCCUUGACGAAAGUGUUGGGGAACGUUGCAUAAAAUAAAAAAAAUUCUACGUUCACCAAGAUCAAUCUAUGAGUUCAUCUAGCAACAAGAGAGGGGAGUGCAUCUACAUACCCUUGUAGAUCACGAGCGGAAGCGUUCAAGAGAACGGGGUUGAGGGGGUCGUACUCGUCGUGAUCCAAAUCACCGGAGAUCCUAGCGCCGAACGGACGGCACUUCUGCGUUCAACACACGUACGGUCAGUGUGACGGCUCCUCCUUCUUGAUCCAGCAAGGGGGAAGGAGAGGUUGAUGAAGAUCCAGCAGCACAAUGGCGUGGUGGUUGAUGCGGCAGAGUUCCGGCAGGGCUUCGCCAAGCGACUAUGGGAGGAGGAGGUGUAGCAAGGGGGGAGGGAGGCGCCAGAUGUCAGGGUGAGGCUGCCCUCCCACCCCCCUCUUUAUAUAGGGACCCUAGGGGGGCGCCGGCCCUGGAGAUGGGAUCUCCCAAGGGGGGCGGUGGCCAGGGGGGUGGAGUGCCCCCCAAGGCAAGUCGAGGCGCCCCCUCCCCUAGGGUUCCCAACCCUAGGCGCAGAGGGGGGCCCAGGGGGGGCGCACCAGCCCACCAGGGGCUGGUUCCCCUCCCACUUCAGCCCAUGGGGCCCUCCGGGAUGGGUGGUCCCACCCGGUGGACCCCCGGGACCCUUCCGGUGGUCCCGGUACAAUACCGGUGAACCCCAAAACUUUCCCGAUGGCCGAAACUCGACUUCCCAUAUAUAAUUCUUUACCUCCGGACCAUUCCGGAACUCCUCGUGACGUCUGGGAUCUCACCCAGGACUCCGAACAACUUUCGGUUUGCUGCAUACUAAUAUCUUUACAACCCUAGCGUCACCGAACCUUAAGUGUGUAGACCCUACGGGUUCGGGAGACAGGAAGACAUGACCGAGACUGCUCUCCGGUUAAUAACCAACAGCGGGAUCUGGAUACCCUUGUUGGCUCCCACAUGCUCCUCGAUGAUCUCAUCGGAUGAACCACGAUGUCGAGGAUUCAAGCAACCCCGUAUACAAUUCCCUUUGUCAAUCGGUAUGUUACUUGUCCGAGAUUCGAUCGUCGGUAUCCCAAUACCUCGUUCAAUCUCGUUACCGGCAAGUCACUUUACUCGUACCGUAAUGCAUGAUCCCGUGACCAGACGCUUGGUAACUUUGAGCUCAUUAUGAUGAUGCAUUACCGAGUGGGCCCAGUGAUACCUUUCCAUCAUACAGAGUGACAAAUCCCAGUCUCGAUCUGUGUCAACCCAACAGACACUUUCGGAGAUACCUGUAGUGCACCUUUAUAGCCACCCAGUUAUGUUGUGACGUUUGGUGCACCCAAAGCACUCCUACGGUAUCCGGGAGUUACACGAUCUCAUGGUCUAAGGAAAAGAUACUUGACAUUGGAAAAGCUCUAGCAAAACGAACUACACGAUCCUGUUCUAUGCUUAGGAUUGGGUCUUGUCCAUCACAUCAUUCUCCUAAUGAUGUGAUCCCGUUAUCAAUGACAUCUAAUGUCCAUAGUCAGGAAACCAUGACUAUCUGUUGAGCAACGAGCUAGUCAACUAGAGGCUCACUAGGGACAUAUUGUGGUCUAUGUAUUCACACGUGUAUUACGAUUUCCGGAUAAUACAAUUAUAGCAUGAAUAAAAGACAAUUAUCAUGAACAAGGAAAUAUAAUAAUAAUCCUUUUAUUAUUGCCUCUAGGGCAUAUUUCCAACAGAAAGCACUUCUGUGACGCGCGAUUUAUCGUCAUGGAAGUGGACACUUCCGUGAUCAUAAUUUUGGUAAUGUCAUGGAACACUUCUAUGACAGCACAGGUAUGACUAUCUUCAUUCUGUCAUAAAAUCAUCAAGAAUGUACUCCCUCCGAUUCUUUAUACUCUGCGCAUAACUUUCGUUCAUUUUUCUCGUUUUACUCUGCGCGUUCCUACUUCUCCUAUGCUUUCCUCUUAUGCCCCCCAAAAGCUGCUGCAUGCAACCAUUUGCAGUUAAUACUUGCCUUCUCUCGUUGGCCAUGCAGAGUGGAGAGAGAGAGGUAGUUGAGGGAAUCAAGGCAAUCGCAUGUGAGAGCCAAUCGGCUACAUGCAAGUUAAUAACAAUCCAGCACUAAAGUAGGGGCAAAUUAGUCCCAGAAAGAUCAAGCGAGCCCUUUCUUGGCAUGCGUGUGAGAUGUUAUACACAAAGAAAAUAUGAUCGGAGGGAGUACAUGCAUGACAGAAAACACGACCUACUGUGACAAACACGUAUCAUCACGGAAGUGUAUUUCUUUUGUAGUGGCUCCUCCUACAACUUCUGGAGGUCGAGCACUUGAGCAGGGAGGGGUAUCCCUUCUUCUUCCAUCUCAGCGCUCACAAGGGCAGAGCCAGUCAACCAGAAGCACGAGUUGACAUGGAUUCGACUUGUGGGCCGUCAGCCGCACGGCCUACUCGCGAUCGACGACUUCCCUAGUGGCUUGCAGGCCCAAACUGGGCCCGUUGAGGGUGUACGCCGAUAUAUGCGUGUGGUGUGUGUUGCGUGAGGAUUGGGAAGGGAGUUGGUGGCUUCGGCCAUGGCUAGUGUGUGUCAUGUGUGAGCUCGUGUAAGCAUUCAUGGCGAAUUGGCUAUAGAUCUGACAUCAAUACAAGUUAUACCCUCACAUCUAGCUUCAGAGCCGUUCCAUCCUGGAGUUCCCCACCACCCACACCGCACCAAGUUCAGCGAAUUACGGCGGCGGCAAGCCAUGGAUGGGCUGUCGGCGGAAGGGUGCAGCAUCCACAAGCUCGUUAAAUCCACCAUCUCCGACGACCUCGAUCAGCGCCUCAAGGUACACAGCGAAGACCUCCUCAAGUCCAUGACCAAAUUGCUCCAGGAUUCGACCAAGACCUUGGACGGUCUCAUCACAGCAUGCGUCGACAGUGUUCGCUCUGAGCUCCUCCUCAAAAUCUACCAGAUCCGCUCGGAUUGGGAGCGACGGGACAAGGCUGACUGCAAUGGACGGAUUGGAGGGCCUUCCUCAUCAAGCAGAGACGCCGAAGAAAGCCAGUACGCGGUUCCUGCUGAUUCCCAUGGAGCGGACAGGUUUAGUAAGUCCAAGGCUCACAACAUCUACGUCCCACCUCCGGCCAGGAGUGGGCGUGAAUUGCCUUCAGUCUCCCCGAGAGCUCAUCGCACUAGAUCAAGGUGAGUAGUACACUUCAUGGACGAGAGUCGAGCUGUCGCGGUUAAAUGGCUCAAAUCCCAGGCUGUGGCAAGUGAGAUGCGAGGACUGCUUCAAGCAAUGGGGCACGCACCAUAGCAGAUGAAUAUCAUCCGCCACCACUCAAUUCGAAGGGGCAGCUGCUCGCUGGUUGGAGUCUGUGCAGAGGAGAAUAGUGGGGUUACAGUGGACUGAAUUUUGCAAUCUCCUGCAAUCGAGAUUUGGCCGUAACCAACACCAGAAUUUGCUGAGGAAGAUGUUCCGAAUUGGUCAGACUAGAUCUGUCGAAGAAUAUGUAGAUCAAUUCUCUAAAUUGUAUGUCCAACUCACUACUUAUGAAAUCAUCCCUGAUCCACUGCAUUAUACCACCAGGUUCAUCGACGGGUUGAAACUAGGAGUCUGCAUGGCCAUUGCAAUGCAAAAACCCAGAGAUCUUGACACUGCGUACGAAUUAGCUCUGCUACACGAAGAAUUGUGAGAAGUAUCAUACCACCAAGCCAGUUCCACGACAAAAGGAGUCAUGCAUCAUCCGGAUAGUAUGCUUACAAGUCCAAAAAUGCAGAAGAGCGUCGGCCAAUUGACAGUCAAAGGUCAGAAACUACUAAAGAUAAGUGGGUCUCUCUGAGGAAUUUCAGGAAGGCAAAAGGAUUGUGCUUCAUCUGUGGUGAAAAAUGGUCCAAGGACCAUCAGUGCAAGUCUACUGUGCAGCUACAAGUUGUGCAAGAACUCAUUGAGCAAUUACAGAGCCCCGCUACAUCCCUGGAUGAAUCUGAUAGUGAUUCUGACAAUCUGAUGAUGCUCUCAGCAGCUGCUGUAAGCAACAGUGUGUCAAAGAUGUCCCUCACCUUACCAGUACUUCUACAAGGUAUUAAGCUAAGGUUUCUAGUUGACUCAGGGAGCACUCAUUCAUUCGUGGACAGUUCUCAUCAACAGAUGUUUCCAACAAUGACUGAAAUUAAGUCGGUUUCUGUCAAGGUUGCAGGAGGAGGGAAGUUGAGCUAUUCACAGCAGGUUAAACACUGCAAGUGGAGUUGUCAGGGAGAAAACUUUGUGCAUGAUUUCAGAGUCCUAACCCUUGGAGGAUAUGAUAGUAUUUUGGGCCUUGAUUGGCUAGCCAAGCAUAGUCCAAUGUACAUGGACUGGGAACAAAAAUGGCUCUCCUUCCAGUAUAAGGGAACUACUGUUACCCUACAAGGGGAAUUGCCUGAAGAGUGUGAAUUCACUGUCAUGGCAAUUUUUCAGAACAUCACUACUAAAAACAGUGAGCACUUACCUGAGAUACAAGCUUUAUUAGACAAGUAUGCUGAGGUUUUUGCUCCCCCAACUAGUUUACCUCCCAGAAGGCAGUAUGACCACAGUAUUCCCCUGCUACCUGGAGCUCAACCAGUGUCUAUUAGACCAUACAGAAUUCCUCCUCACCUGAAGAUUGAAAUGGAAAAGCAGGUGGCAGAAAUGUUGUAGAGAGGGUUAAUUCAAGUGAGUAAUAGUCCUUUUUCUUCUCCAGCACUACUGGUCAAAAAGAAGGAAGAAGGAGCUUGGAGGUUGGUCAUAGACUUCAGACAUGUCAAUGCACUCACAGUGAAAAGCAAAUACCCUAUUCAUAUUAUUGAUGAGCUACUAGAUGAACUUGCUGGAGAUCGUUGGGUUUCUAAAUUGGACCUCAGAGCAGGAUACCAUCAGACCAGACUUGCAUCAGGAGAAGAGUUUAAAACUACUUUUCAGACACACAUUGGUCACUAUGAGUUCACUGUUGUGGCCAUGGGGCUGACUGGGGAUCCCAAUACAUUCCAAGGAGCAAUGAACACAGAUCUAGCUCCAUCCUUGAGUGGUGAGGAUCACUGUGUUGUAUGUUUCUUUGAUGAUAUUCUAGUUUUCAGCCAAUCCCUCAAGGAACAUCUCCUGCAUCUAGACAAGGUAUUGGGUAUUCUACUAGAAAAACAAUGGAAUGUAAAACUCAGUAAAUGUGAAAAGCAAGAGAUUGCUUAUCUGGGUCAUGUCAUAAGUGACAAGGGGGUUUCCACUGAUGCCAGUAAAAUUACAGCUGUUAAGAAUUGACCAGUUCCUAUGGAUGUGAAGCAGGUCAGAGGAUUUUUGGGCUUAACUGGAUACUACAGGAAAUUUAUCAAAAACUAUGGUGUGAUUAGCAGACCUCUGACUGACUUGUUGAAAAGGGGGGCUAUAUUUGUGUGGACUUCCACUACUGAUUUAGCCUUCCAGACACCGAAGCAGGCUCUGAUUCAUGCUCCUGUAUUAGCCCUUCCAGAUUACUCCAAGCAGUUUGUGGUGGAAACAGAUGCAUGUGAAGUUGGCAUUGGGGUUGUUCUUAUGCAACAGGAUCAUCCAAUUGCAUUUGUCAGCAGGGCCUUGGGUCCUAAGAACAGAGGUCUUCCUGUGUAUGAGAAGGAAUACAUGGCAAUACUACUAGCCAUUGAGAAGUGGAGACCAUACUUGCAAUUCCAGGAGUUCAUUAUCAAGACAAAUCAGAAGAGUCUGGUUCACCCGUCUGAUCAAAGAUUGCAUACACCUUGGCAGGAAAAAGCACUCACCAAAAUGAUGGGCCUCAACUAUAAGAUCAUGUAUAAAAAGGGAUCUAACAAUUCAGCAGUAGAUGCUCUUUCUAGAAGGCCUCAUGCAGAUUCUCAGCUCCUAACAAUAUCAUAUGCUCAGCCCAGUUGGCUUGGUGAAAUUGUCGAGAGUUACUCAAAUGAUCCAAAAGCACAAGAGUUACUGUGCCAACUGACCCUACAACCAGGCUCCAAGGAUAAAUUUCAGCUAGUUAAUGGGUUAAAUAAGGUACAAGGGCUGCAUCUGGGUGGGCAAUGAUAGUACAUUGCAUAUAAAAAUUUGUCAACCCUUCCAUGACACACCCCUAGGAGGGCACUCAGGUUUCCCAGUUACUUAUAAGAGAAUUCGUGCUCUUUUUAAGUGGGUUGGCAUGAAGAAACUUGUUCAGCAGUUUGUGCAAUCUUGCUUAGUGUGUCAGCAAGCGACACCUGAGAGAGUGGCUUACCCUGGACUACUAUCCCCAUUACCAGUUCCUACCAAGGCUUGGGCAACUGUAACAAUGGGCUUUAUCUCAGGUUUACCUCCCUCGGGUCAGUUUGACUGCAUUAUGCUCAUCAUCGACAAAUUUACAAAAUAUGGCCACUUUGUUCCUGUCAAAAACCCCUACACAUCUUAGAAAAUUGCUGAUCUUUUCCUGGACAAUGUCUAUAAGCUUCAUGGCAUGCCUCUGUACAUUGUGUCAGAUCGGGAUCAUAUCUUUACUAGCAAUUUUUGGCAAGCAUUGGUUAAGAAAACUGGGAUUGUUCUUAACAUGAGCACUGCAUAUCAUAUGGAGACUGAUGGCCAAACCGAACGAGUGAAUCAACAGGUUGAGUGUUUCCUAAGAUGCUUUAUCAGUGCCCACCAGAGCAAAUGGUCCAAAUGGCUUUCUCUAUGCGAGUUCUGGUACAAUACAAACUGGCAUUCAGCUCUGAACAAAUCACCAUCUGAAGUUCUUUAUGGGCAUAGCCCCAGGUAUUUUGGGAUAUCAGUUUCAUAUACAGUUGCUCCGGUUGAUUUGCAGCAAUGGUUGGAAGCUAGGGAAGUUGUGCAACAGUCGGUUUGUCAACACCUGUUGUGUGUGCAACGAUGAAUGAAACACCAGGCCAACAAACAUCGCACGGAGAGGACAUUUGAAGUGGGUGACAGGGUGUUCCUCAAGCUCAAGCCAUAUGUGCAAUCGUCAGUGGCGCACAGGGCAAAUAACAAACUUGCAUUCAAGUACUUUUGGCCUUUCCUCAUUCUGGAGAAAAUUGGCGAGGUGGCUUACCGGCUGCAAUUGCCAGCAGCUAGCCGUAUCCACCCGGCCUUUCAUGUUUUGCAGCUGAAGCGCUUUGUGCAACCACAUUACGAGGUAAUUGACUCACUUCCUUGUGCCGAUGCUCACCUCCAAAUCCCUGUUAAGAUCUUGCAGGAGCGCAUUCGCCGCUCGGACAAUCGUUCCGUGGCUCAAGCCUUGAUCCAGUGGAGUGGUGGAGAUGCAUCUACAGCAACCUGGAAGGACAAGGACUCGCUUCGCCAGUUGUUUCCGUGAGCCCCGGCUUGGGGUUAAGCCGGUUCUAAAAGAGAGGGGGAUGUCAACGCUCACAAGGGCAGAGCCAGUUAACCAGAAGCACGAGUUGACGUGGAUUCGACUCAUGGGCCGUCAGCCGCACGGCCCACUCGCGAUCGACGACUUCCCCAGUGGCUUGCAGGCCCAAACUGGGACCGUUGAGGGUGUACGCCGAUAUAUGCGUUGUGUGUGUGUGUGUUGCGUGAGGAUUGGGAACGGAGUUGGUGGCUUCAGCCAUGGCUAGUGUGCGGCGUGCGUGAGCUCGUGUAAGCAUUCAUGGCGAAUUGGCUAUAGAUUGAGAUCAAUACAAGUUAUACCCUCACAUUCCGGAGGACAGAAUGAAACAUCUCCACCGGAAUAGCAGAUAGUGCAACAAGACGAUGGAUGUGUGACGCCCCAAGACCGACGCUCUAGAAGACUUAUAGCUGGUCCAUGUUUCUCGUUGUCGCCGUGUGUUUUGUUUUGUUUGUUGCAUUCAUCAUUGCAUCAUGUCAUCAUGCAACCCUUUUUAAACCUCAGCUAAAUAAAUUGCAUGGAUCAUCGAUCUAUUUAAAUCGAGGGAAUUUACAUGGUGAUUUCUCUUUAGAACAUAUACUCCCAAUAUUAUUAGGGAGCUAUGAAUAUUCCAUUAACUGGAAAUCACCCAUAACACAUUUACAUUAUUCUUCAACUCUUCUUUUAUCCUAGUCAACUUUCUAUCCUUCCUUUUCGACGUUUUAGUAAAAUUGAGUUGCAAUUUUACUUCUCCAUAAAUGUUUCAAAUCUUCCCAUAAAUCACAUCUGGUGUGUAGGGUCACCCCCCUAUAAUUUCAACCCAUUUGGAGUUCAUUCGAAUGGGUUUCGAAAUUCAAACUUGUCUGAGUUAAAUCCAACAUGUGUGGAUAUUAUUUCCUCUAAAAAUCCUCAAUCUAUUUUUGUCAAAUUCCUCACAUUUUUGUGAGUCCGGGAAAAUAAUCCCCAUGCCCAAAUUCUAUCUCUACCUUCAUUUCUUCUUUUUUUUUCUUUGACAUUUUUUUGUUUUUGGGAGAGAGAAGAAGGAGAGCAACCGCAGCUCAGCCUGCUACCAGCAGCCGUGUCAGGCCACCGUGGCCUCCCGUAGCCCACCACCCAGGCCUAGGCCUAGUCGGCGCCCCUUUCUAACCUAACCCUCACCCGAUCCCCUCGUUAUCUCCCUCUCGAUCCCCUCAUCCUCCUCCUUGCGCCGCCGCGAGGGCUUCUUGCCCGACCCCGUGCCACCUCGUCCCCGUAGCUCUUCAGCUCGCAGCCGCCGGCGAGCCCCGUCCACCACGCACUACCCCGAGCCUCUUGCCAUCACUCUCCACCCCGCGCGCGACCAGCGUCGUCCUAUCCGUGCCGCCCCGUCCAGUUCCUCGUCGGUGACCCCCCACUCCGGAUCCGCCUCCCAGGACCACGACCAGUGCCGCGGCUCCACGCCGUCAUCCGCAUCCCCGGCCUCCUCGUCGCCGUUUCGCCCGUCCCCGGCCACCGGUGCCCUCGCCAGAGCUCCGGCAAGCCGUCCCUGCCGCGCCCGACCUCUCCCUCGCCUCGCCGUUGCCCUGCUCCAGCGCUGCCUACCGACCUCCUCUGCUCCAGCCGUGGGCACCUCCUGCCCGAGAACCACAUUCGGCCUCGCCAUGGUUCUCCUGCACCAGCUCCGUCCGACAAGGACGUCGCCCCGCUUCCUUCUCUUGCCGCGAUCGGGAUCCCCCUCCUCACGCCUCGGGUCACCUCGCCACCCCAUCACCCGUCUUGUGCCCGCGUCCGCGUAGCGCCAUCUCUGCUGCCCCCACGCACCUCCGAUGACCUCCCGAGGCAGGGCCAAGUACCACUACCAUCGCAUUUCGUUUCUUCAUCGUCAAGGCCGAGAGGACGCCAAGUACUAGUACGUCAGGACCCGUCAAGUUCAUCUACGUGCAUGUACGACUAUCUUCGCCAUAGACUCGUGUACGAUUACGCAACAAACUGUGUAGUUACACGAGCUACCAGUACCGCGACGACCCCGGAGACUGUAUUCUGUCAAGUUCCUCUACAAUAUGUGUACCACUACUUCCACAACAUGUCGUGUAUGACUACCGUCGCUCGGAUUCGACAAGACAAUGUGUACCACUACAGUCGCCAAGUUCGACUGCCGCACGGUUACGCCAAGUUCAUCUACGAAACGUGUACAACUACUUCCACUACCGUCGCGAGAACGACUACUUCCACUAUGGCCCGUGUACCACUACUUCCCUCGACGAACUCGAACCGCUCCGAAAAAGCACACCACAAAGGUAUAACCACGAGACGAUCACGCGUGGACCGAAUGCACGUGUGUUGUAUCAGGUGCUCGUGUUUGCACCAUGUCCGAGUUGAUCCUUGCACGUUCCUCCUCGUUUGCCAUGUCGUCGGCCCGUGGGAACCCGGUAAUCCGGGAUCACCCCUCCAUCUUUUGCAUGCUCACGCCCACACUUUCUUUUGCACCGGUAUCUCAACAAGUUGCUGGAUCAUCGGAAUGUUGCCGUGGCACCAUUUCCGUUGUCAUUGCCGUGGCACCCCUUUUGUUCCGCCAUGGUGACAAAUGCUUCAUAUCUUAUAUUAUGUCAACAUUUUCAUAAAAAUUGCAUAAAACUUGUAUAUGUCAUCCGCGUCAUGAUAACAACAUUUAAAAUGUUUAAAAUUGUUGUUGCAUUAAAUUGCUAAAUAACAUAUGGGGAUUUUCCAGAAUUGUUGUUUGUUGUUUCCGGCAUCAUUUAAACUUGCCUAAAUAGGUGGUUUGCUCAUGUUUCACCUCUUGCCAUGUUAACCAACAUUUAAACUUGUCUUGUUCAUAAACAAGAGCGAACUAAAUAAUUGGAUGUGGUGUUUUGUCAAUAUGCAACUCAUUGUAUAUUGAGCUCCACUUAAAUUGUAGUGUUGUUUGUGCACUUUGCCAUGUCAUGCAUAUUUAAACCGGACAUGCAUCAUACUUGAAUGUGCAUCAUGCCAUGUUAUGUGAUGAUUGUUUACCAUGUUGUUUGCUUCUUUCCGGUGUUGUUUCUUAGUUUCGGUAACGUUGUGGUUUGUGAGGAUUCGUUCGACUAUGUCCGUUUGUCUUCUUCUUGGACUCGUUCUUCAUUCUUGCGGGAUCUCAGGCAAGAUGACCAUUACCCUCGAUAUCACUUCUAUCUUUGCUUGCUAGUUGCUUCUUUCUAUCGCUAUGCUGGUUGAAGUUUUCAUGAGCAUAAGACAAUUUCAAAUCUGAGGUUGCUGCAAGCAUGACAACCCGACACUUGGGGGCUACAGGUGAUAUGCAUAUAAGGGAGGAAUAACUUCAAAUUCUUAGUUUUGAGGAAAUCAGGUAUUAUAUUAUUAUCAGAGAAAUCUGCAAAGUUUAUGACCCGGCGUCACCAUAAGAUUAACCCGGCAUCAGCAACAAUUACAUGACCUGGCAUCAUUUAUUUAUAACCCGGCAAAUUUGGUAAUCAUAAGUCGGCAAGAUUUACAUCUCUAAGCCGGCUGAAUAUCAAUUCAAUAUUUCAAAGACCAAUAUUUUUGUCAAGUCAGAGCAUUGAAGGCCGACUCAAAUGGAUUAUUUCUUAUAAUAUUUCUCUACAAGAGCCAAUGUCAGCAAAUUGGUUAUGAAGCUGGCCUAUUGACCUAGAUUUUUUAGAAGAAGUGCCUGGAUUUUUUUGCAUUGGCAAGGUUUGGACAUAUCUGUUAAAGGAGAUUUGCUAUAAGAUCUUGAGUAUGCAUCUAGGAGGAAAUGACAAGGACUUAAAGAUGAUCAGGUGCCGGUUCGGGAAAAUAUUUAACCCGGAGCACAACCUAUCAAGUUUGUUCUUGUGUUUAUUUUACUGGAUCAAUUUAACUUGGAUAAAUCCAAAUUAAACUGGAGGCUAAUGUCGGGGAUAUACCCCGCGGUAUGACCUGGCUGGAAGUAUGACCCGGCCGGGCUGGGCAUUUUCAUUGGUAACCUGCCGGAGUGGCGACUCACGAGCCUCGCGAUUCACGGAUGGCCCUGACGGCGGGUCAGAUAGAAGACAAGGCCCAAGGCCCAGAAGGCCGGGUCAUGCUAUGGUGGGCCGGCUUAAGAGAAAAGGCAUAGGGAAUAUUAUCCUACAAAGGAAGCAAGACUAGGACUCCACUUGUAAUAGAGUAAUCCUAAUCCUACUAGGACUAGUCAUGUAACCCGCCCCUUCAACUUAUAUAAGGAGGGGCAGGGCUCCUCAAAGAGGACAAGCAAGAAGAAACAAUCUCUAGGGCUAGACACAAGAGCCGGCUUACCGGCGACUCCCUCAUGAUCAUAAUGAGACCUAGCCACAAACAACAUGUAGGGUUAUUACCAGUUGAUGUUUCUCGGGGCCCGAAGCUGUCUAAAUCCUUGUCUUGUGUGUUGAUUGCAUCACGUCUCUCGAUUCCGACCAACCCCUUCAAGCUACUGCAUAGAUGUGUUGGCCUCACGACUAAGUCCUCACACUAAGGACAUCUGACAUGACAAUUCCAUGACACUAUCACUUGUUUACCAUGCCUCCCAUAUUGCCAUGUCAAGCCUCUAACCCACCUUCCUAGUAAAUCGUUGUUUGGCUAAGUUCCCGCUUUUGGUCAGCCUCUCUUAUAGCGUUGUUAGUUGCAGGUGAAGUUGAAGAUUGCUCCAUGUUGGAACAUGAUUAUGUUGGGAUAUCACAAUAUCUCUUAUUUUUAAUAAAUGCAUCUAUAUAUUUGGUAAAGGGUGGAAGGCUUGGCCUUAUGCUUGGUGUUUUGUUCCACUCUUGCCGCCUUAGUUUCCGUCAUACUAGUGUUAUGUUUCUUAAUUUUGCGUUCCUUACGCGGUCGGGUUUAUGGGAACCCCUUGACAGUCCGCCUUGAAUAAAACUCCUCCAGCAAGGCCGACAUUGGUUUUCCAUUUGCCUAACAACCUACAACCCUCCCUUGGUGUCUGCAGCCCCGAGGGUCAUCUUUAUUUUAACCCCCCGGGGCAAGUGUUUCUCUAAGUGUUGGUCAACACUAGAGCCACUUGCAGCGCCACCUCGGGGAAACUCGAGGGCUGGUUUUUAGUUGUACGUAGUGUUCAUCCGGUGUGCCCUGAGAACAAGAUAUGUGCAGCUCCUAUCAGGAUUUGUCGGCACAUCUGGGCGGUCUUGCUGGUCUUGUUUUACCAUUGCCGAAACGUCUUGUAACCGGAAUUCCGAGACUGAUCGGGUCUUUCCGGGAGAAGGAAUAUCCUUCGUUGAUCGUGAGAGCUUGCGAUGGGCUAAGUUGGGACACCCCUGCAGGGUAUAAACUUUCGAGAGCCGUGCCCACGGUUAUGUGGCAGACGGGAAUUUGUUAAUAUCCGGUUGUAGAGAACUUGACAUUUGACUUGAUUAAAAUGCAUCAACCGCGUGUGUAGCCGUGAUGGUCUCUUUUCGGCGGAGUCCGGGAAGUGAACACGGUUUGGGUUAUGUUUGAACGUAAGUAGUCUUCAGGAUCACUUCUUGAUCACUUCUAGAUGACGACCGUUGCGUAGUUUCUCUUCCUACUCUUUUACUCACAUGUUAGCCAUCAUAUUUUGCUUAUCAAUUUCUGCAACCCCACCUCAUUACCACAUCCUACCCAUAAGCUUAAAUAGUCUUGAUCUCGCGGGUUUUGAGAUUGCCGAGUCCUCGUGACUCACAGGUAUUACCAAAACAGUUGCAUGUGCCGAUGAUAGCAGUGCAGGUGAUGCAAUUGAGCUCAGUUGGGAGUUUGACGAAGUCCUUGGCAGUUACUAUGUUUCGUUUUCUGAUGAUCAGUAGUGGAGUCCAGUUGGGACGAGCGGGGAUCUAGCAUUUGGGGUUAUCUUCUUUUCAGUUGGAUUUGUCCGUAGCCGGACUAUGUGUGUACUCUGAAUGUUGUAUGUUUUAUUUAAGUACUUGUGUGAAGUGGCGAUUGUAAAUCAACUCUUUAUCCCUUUCUUGUUCAUUACAGGGAUUGUGUGAAGAUGACCCUUCUUGCGAAACAACCACAAUGCGGUUAUAUGCCUCUAAGUCGGGCCUCAACACGUGGGAGUUAUAGCCACAUCGUGGGCGUUACGGGACGCUUGCCUGUUGUGCCCGCACUCUAACACUAUAUGCACGUGUUCGCCGCGCACUUGUCCUAUGUGGGUUGCCGGGACAUCAAGUAAGCCAAGACGUACUUCUUCCACAACGCUAUUCUGGUUUGUGUUGCACUAGCGGGUAGUGCGUGGCGGCACGCCGCGCUUUGCUUGUAGUUUCGAGAUUUGUUGAUUUUUGUAUUUUGCAUAAACUUUUACGUGUAAAAAUAGCCAGAUAUUAGAGACAAUACACCAUGCAGGUGGAUCAUUAAUUCAAGACCUUCUUACCACAAGAUUAGACGAUGGAACCAUGAACUUAAAAACUGUUAUGAAAUAUAGUGACCAAAGCAUGGACACAAUUUAUUAUCACUGUAGAGGGUGGCCAUCACUAUGCAUUGUUAACACGAAGUUAUUAUCUCUGAAAAAGUCUCAUGGAAAAGAAUAGAACAGUGGUAGAGAUUUCUAUAGAGCAUAGUCCCGCUUAAGAAUGUUGAACAAUCUGUCCUAUUUUUGCUUGAGCUUGGAAGAAUAAGACAUUCAAUAUAAUGAAUUUUAAACCAUACAAAAAUGUGGACCAAACUGAUCUUUGAAAAAAAAAACUUAAUCUCUCCUACUACUAAAUGUAUACAUUGAUUUUUUUUCCUCACAAUUUUGUUUACCCUCAGCUUCAUUCGAGCUAACAACUCAUAUAUUUUAUCAGUGCAGUUGUAAGAAAACAUAAAAGAGUUAUAAUUUUUUUGCUUCCUCUAACCCAGGUCCACAAUAAUCCAGCUAUAAAUUACUGGAUGAAGUAAGUGGGAUGACCGGUAAAGUUAUUUGGAACCAAAGCAUGAUAAUAAGCAAAUUAUCAUCAUCCUAUAGAUAACAAUCAAAUAAAACAGAAGGAGCUGCAUGAAGAAAUUUUGAGUCAAGACUGUUUGCAGCAAGUUCUAUUACUGAUCCUUGAAUAACAGAACAAUACAAUAAUAAAGUGUACAUUUGUCAGAUCCAUCACUGCUCACGCGUGUGCACCUGCACUUGGGACCACAGCGGUGCGGUGCACUAAGAAGUCUGAGAUCCACUCUCUUUCUCUCUAGCUUUCUCAAAUCUCCCUGCUCAUUCCCCACCUCCACCAUUCCCCCAUCUCCGUAGCGCAUUUGUUGCUCUCGCCGCCAGCUCUCGCUGCCCCAGCGUGGCUCAUCCGUCUCCUCUCCACUGGCAGUAGAAAUCGAGUGCUGCUCGCCCGCACAAUACGCAUCGGCAAGGCACCUCCUACGCCGGCUCCUCGCCUGCACAUCACGCAUCGGUGAGGAAUCGAUUCCACUCAAAGCAGAGGGCGGUCUGGAAAGGGAGAAACCGGCGGAGGAGGGAGGGUCUUGAAAGAGUAGGAGGAAGCGAGGCUGCGAGAGAGGUAGGGGAGAAGAGGAAGCGGCGGGGUACGGCGUGGCGGUGGCAAAAGCUCCGGCAUGCUCGCCAUUGGGCAUUGAUGGCGGCAAGAGCUAGCUAGGCACGACAAGUCCUGAUGAGGUUCACCGUCCACGCGAUUCAUAUCCUCCAGGAUGGUCUCGUCGAUUGAUUCUCUCCUCUCGGGUACCUACUCACCCGACUGCUAAAUAUCCAUCUGUCUAAUUCACCUUUUCUGCUAACUGCAAGUCUCACACCAUGUCAGUGCAACCCGCGGUUCGACAUGGGACUUCGUUUGCUUCGUCUAGAACUUCUGCAUCAUGAGCCUCGCAAAGAUGGCCGCCCUGCUCUUUAUUCCUCUGUCUAGGUAAGCUACAUGAACAGUUUUAGUCGUGAAGCAAGUACACACUUGACUAUAGAAAAUACAUCAUUUUUUCUUCAGUCCACAACACCAAAAGAAAAUACGGCGAUAAAUGCCAGCAAUUAAUCUUAUGUAGGUAAUAACAAUGCAUAAGCCUGAAAUUAUCUUCAGUGUCUUAAAUCAAUAGUACAGGAGCACUAUGUAAAUUACUGGAAUAUAUUGAAACAUACCAGGCCUUGUUAUAUCAACAACAGGGACAUACAUAGGUGUUUCUAAAUUCAGUAAUCACUAAAGCAGAUCAGCGUUGCUCGUACUCUUAAAUUAAGAAUACAUACUACCUAUUUAGAUUCUACCUUUGAGCAGCAUAUAAGGAGUGCAAAUAUUAGCAUGAACCCAGAACUCGCUCAAAAUUACAACACAGCUUAACUGAGCAAAAUCAAAUGGCAGAGGAAGAUAUAAUAUGUACAUAUAAAAUUCCUAUUAUGGGCAUCUGCAAAGGAAGAAGAUCAAUACCCACACAUGAUGGUACUGAAACAAAUUCAUGUAACAUCGUCCAAGAAUGUUAGCUUAAGCAUACCAUGAUAAUCACAAAUCUGACGGUCGUUGUCUCUGGUCCAAUAUCGACACCUGCAAUUGCAGAAGAUCAAUUCUCACAGAUGAUGGUACUAAAAGAAAUUGGCAAACGAAAGAAAAUACAUGUUGCAUGUACAUAAGCUGGUGAUAGUUUGUUCUCCAGGAGAUGCUUGACAAAAGUUGUUUUCCCCAUACUUUGUACCAAACUAGUGGGGUCGCCCGCGCAUUUGCGCGGCUAGAUUAUUGAUUUUGUUGUGAAAAUAGUUGAAGUCCACUUAUUUUAAUGCUAACAAUAUAUAUUAUAAUUCUAAUGGCCUUAUAAGUGAAACUUUGUAUCAUGCUUUUGGAAUAUUGGUGAUUUAUUGCUCCAAAUAAAUUCAAAUUUUAACAAAAGAAUUAGAAUAUCGCCUAAAAUAACGUACCCAAUUUGGAAUCGAAAUACAAAAAUAUUGCAAUUAAAGCAUUUUUAUAGCCAUAUAAUAGUUGCCGGACAUGUGUGCCAUGGGGGUUGGCGUGAAGUUCCAUUGAGGAACUUGGACUCUAGGCCAUGUGCAGCCGCUAGGCCACCUAAUCUCCUAUGGGUAGGUCAAUUAUCUCUUCCCUGCCACGUUAACCUCUCUUUCCAUUCUUCCAUGUUUGCCUCUCUUGCAACUCUCACUCAUUGUACAACCAUUGGUUCUAUUUCUCUUUAGCUUCUCAAGCUUCACCGUGGCCCCCUUUAGACCGAGGUGACACUUAUAUUGAUAGCAAUAACUCCUGAUCGAGCACCGCUGUUGGGUGGUAGUUAGCUUUGAUGGUUUCAUAUACAAAAUGUCAAAACUCAUUUGUCAAAUAAAAGAAGUUGUAGUCGGUGUCUAAAUCGUGAAAAAGUAUUAUGGACUCAAGUAUAUUUAUUUUAUCAUGUGUAGUAAGAUGUUAGCAAAGCAUUUCGUAUGUGACAACUAAAAACCAUAUUUGGGUUCACUUUUGGCACGCCCAACUAUAUAGUGGUGCCUAUCUUUUAUCCACAAUUUUAAGAAACAUCCCAACAAAAAAUAAUAUUUUAACUCUGAUGUCUAGAAUAUUUUCCAACUAAUGUAUGUUGCUUAGCCAUCUAAGACAAUAUAAACUUAUUUGCAUGUAUUUGAAAAAAAAAUCCAGAACUAACCUCACCUGCUAAAUAUUGCCUAAUCUAUGUAGCUGGCCAUUUUUCUUUAUUUUUAUCAUAGCACGGUUAUUUAUUUUCCUCAUAAAAGUUAUUAGCUUCUUUUAUCGUGGCAUUGCACACACUACAUUUGGUGGCAGCGAGCUGGGUAGCCCUCGCAAUGAUGUGGCUAGAUUGUCUAAUAUAGAGACUAAAACAAAAUCAUAAAAUGUAUAGUACAAACAAUUUAGAGAAAUAUGAUUGUGUACUUUCGGACAAAGGUAUUUCCAUUUUAGUGCAUGGAUUGUAGCCAAGGACAUUUCUAAGUUAAAACAAAGGAUAAAUGCUACAUUUAUGUGUGUCGCCCUUGAAACCAUAUACUGGGUUAUGCCUUUGUCUCAUCCAGUCCGCAUCCAUGGGCUAUGGAUUUCACAAUGAGUUUCUUAAAGACAUGCACUAUUUAUCCAACAAAUAAGUCACAUCCAGAACAAACAAAAAAAUAUUUUUAGGAAAAUUAUAAGGAAAUUCUCCAAUGCAUAUAUUUGAACUAAAUAUAGUUCAUGAAGAUUUUUAGUGCAUGUGCCCAGUUUUUUGCAGCAAAAAUAUGGGUUACCCUCCCGUAAUUAGAGAUAUCUUCUUUUUAUCCAUAUAAACACCUUAUACAUCUUUUCCUUCUAGUCCAUCAGGAGAAUGAUAUUUUUUGGAAGUGCACCUAUAAUGCGUGAGAUCUUGUACCAAAGAAUACACCACACGGGAAAUCAUUUUGUUACUGUUUUAUUUACCGAUUGUUUGCCCUCGUGUCAACGAUUGUAGUAUUUAGCUUUCCACGACAUUAGCAUUGGUACAUUGACCACUGUUAGUUAGAAGAGAAAAAUACACUAGAACAUCUCGCAGAAAGUAGUCCAAUUAUUUGGUGGACCAUAUAAAAAUUUACAAUUUGGACUGACCAGAGAAAAGGAAAAAUGCUAGAAAAUAUCAUUAGAGACAAAUAUGAGGAAAUUAGUUUGCUAACAUAAAUGCAUAUACCCCCGCAAAAAACCAUGUCGCAUAAACACAUGCAUAAAUGAUAUAUAUGUUGCCAAGAUGGUAUUUCCCCAUGUUGUAGAUGCUACACAUGAAGGAUCAAUUAGCAUACGUGCGUAUCAAGAGAUAGAUCAAUGAGCGCACCUGUUCACAUGUAAAUGCAUGCGUACGUGUGUGUUUUUGCUGUGAACGCCCGAAGCUCCUUGAGUCGACGUGAAUGCGCCGCCACAACCGCGAGUCAGCGACAACUCUGCCACGCCAUUGCGUUUCUCUCCUGUGACAUGCGCCUCUGCCGCUGCCAUCGGCCGUCGCCCCUGCUGCCGCCGCCGUCGCUGUUACUGUGUAGGCUAGCUUCUACGAUCAUACAUCGAUCCCGCCAGUAGCUAUUCAUAUUCCUCCGCAUAACGUCUAAUUGCACAAUUACAUACGUCUUUGAUUGUUGUUAUAAGUCGUACACUACCGCUUGCUGCAUGGCAGCAGCCUCCACGGCGGUGCACCGGCGAGAUCGUGCGUACCAUGAGGAGGUCAUGGGCCUUGGCUGAACCCAGGUACGCAGUCAAUCAGAGAAUAUCAAAUUAUUUUGCCUUCCCCAAGUCAUAAUAGAUUGCCUGUGCCUGUACGCUAGAGCAUGUCGUUUCCUUUCCAAAUUCCGUUUCCUUUCCAUGUAAAUCUUUUUUCUUGUCUACUCAUUUCAAAUUACGUUUCCUUUCCAUGUAAAUCUUUUUUCUUUUCUUUUUAGCACCCUGUCCUAUCCAUCACGUUUGGCUGCGGUUGGACAUACUUUUUGUACAUGUCGUUAUUACUUGCCUAUUGCUAGUUUCUUUUUACGUGUAUUACAUGAGGAAAUCUUGAUCGUUGAUACAUCUUAAUAUUAGAGUGUCAAAUCAGCACCGUUCGUUUUCUAUGGUUUUAUAAGUAUAUACUAGAUGAUAGAUUUCAGACAAAAUCUGCCCUGCUGCUCAAGAAUGUAAAGCCAUGUCAUUCAACUUGUUGUCAAUUGAUCCUAAUGGUAAAUACAAAUACAAUGUCACUUAAAAAGAUUAUGCCAUUAUAGUUUUCUGAAACAAGAAUACGCCAUAAUAGCAUAGUGCCAGAAUUAUUUCAGUCGCUAUACAGUUUGAUGCGAUUCACAUGCAUGAUAUUUUAAUGAGUAGGCAAAUCGAAAUAUAAGGCACGUAGAAGGAAGAGGAACCAGGAGUGGUGAUGUUGUGCUCAUCUAUACCAUCGCUUGUGAGCUAUGCAGUGGCAGCUGCCCUACAGAGAGGAAUGGUUGUGGCCCGGGAACAUGGCGCCUCAAAAGCAAUGUUAUAUGCUGUUGAGGAAGGGCGUCUCUGAUGGUCGCGCUGCGUCAAGCAUGUCAUCGCCGGUGCCGACAACAGGCCAACGACGGGAGGGAGGUGGCACACCGCCGCGGGAGAGCGGAGUAGAGCACAGGACAACGUGAGGAGGGGGGCAACUUACCAAACCUCCCGCCAUGGUCAUCCUCGAUUGGAUCCACCAUCAUGCACAUGUCGUCGUUGUCGUCCUACGCCAGUGCCUCCUUCAGGCACUGCAUAGCGGCCGCUCCACCUCACCAUUGCCUUGACACGGA